rnacentral:lncRNA from 1 species
UAUUUGAUACUUUUUGCAGACGACACUGUCUUAUUUGCCAAAUCUGCCAAACUUCUUCAACAGCUACUUGACAAACUAUCCAAACACUGUAGAAAAUGGAACAUAGAAGUUAACACUGAUAAAACUAAAAUAGUUGUGUUUAGAAAUGGAUGGCAACCUGUAAACAAUCAAUUCAUGUAUAAUAAUCAAGAACUUCAAAUUGUGAAUUCAUACGUUUACCUUGGAAUGUUGCUGCACUUUAACGGGAAAUUCUUACACACGCAAAAGCGACUAUCCCAACAAGGAUCAAGAGCUCUCUCAUCACUCUUAAAAUGUUUAGAUAAUAUUUACAUUUCUACAAAGCAACAAUGUCUUCUUUAUGACAGUAUGGUUGGAUCGGUACUGAACUAUUCUUCCGAAAUAUGGGGUUUUCACCGUGACAACGACAUAGAGAUUAUUCAUAACCGUUUUUUGUAGGUUUGUUUUAAAAUUAGGUAAACGUGCUCCUAUUAGUUUUCUUUGUGGCGGGCUUGGUCAUCUACCUAUGUAUAUUUUGAGAAAACAAUUAAUCUUAAAAUAUUGGUUACGUAUUGUUAUAUAUAAACCAGCUUUUGUAUAUGAUGUAUAUAAAAU